rnacentral:rRNA from 1 species
UACGUAGGGUGCGAGCGUUAAUCGGAAUUACUGGGCGUAAAGCGUGCGCAGGCGGUUAUAUAAGACAGAUGUGAAAUCCCCGGGCUCAACCUGGGACCUGCAUUUGGUACUGUAUAGCUAGAGAAGGGUAGAGGGGGAUGGAAUUCCCGGUGUAGCAGUGAAAUGCGUAGAUAUGCGGAGGAACACCGAUGGCGAAGGUAAUCCCCUGGACCUGUACUGACGCUCAUGCACGAAAGCGUGGGGAGCAAACAGGAUUAGAUACCCUGGUAGUCCACGCCCUAAACGAUGUCAACUGGUUGUUGGGUCUUCACUGACUCAGUAACGAAGCUAACGCGUGAAGUUGACCGCCUGGGGAGUACGGCCGCAAGGUUG